AUUGAACGCUGGCGGCAUGCUUUACACAUGCAAGUCGAACGGUAACAGGGAGCUUGCUCCGCUGACGAGUGGCGAACGGGUGAGUAAUGCAUCGGAACGUACCCAGUCGUGGGGGAUAACGUAGCGAAAGUUACGCUAAUACCGCAUACGUCCUGAGGGAGAAAGCGGGGGACCGUAAGGCCUCGCGCGAUUGGAGCGGCCGAUGUCGGAUUAGCUAGUUGGUAGGGUAAAGGCCUACCAAGGCGACGAUCCGUAGCGGGUCUGAGAGGAUGAUCCGCCACACUGGGACUGAGACACGGCCCAGACUCCUACGGGAGGCAGCAGUGGGGAAUUUUGGACAAUGGGCGAAAGCCUGAUCCAGCCAUGCCGCGUGAGUGAAGAAGGCCUUCGGUGUAAGAUCUUCAGCCGGAAAGAAAUACGCGCAGGAUAAUACUCUGCGUGGAGUGACGGUACCGGAAGAAGAAG
rnacentral:rRNA from 1 species